AUUGAACGCUGGCGGCAGGCCUAACACAUGCAAGUCGAGCGGAGCGGCGGACGGGUGAGUGAUGCCAAGGAAUCUACCAGGUAGUGGGGGAUAACGUCCGAAAACGGGAGCUAAUACCGCAUACUAGCAGAUGAGCCUAGGUCGGAUUAGCUAGGUGGUGGGGUAAAGGCCUACCAAGGUGACGAUCCGUAACUGGUUUGAGAGGAUGAUUAGCCACACUGGAACUGAGACACGGUCCAAACUCUUACGGGAGGCAGCAGUGGGAAAUAUUCGACAAUGGACGAAAGCCUGAUGCAGCCAUGCCGCGGGUGUGAAGAAGGUCUUCGGAUUGUAAAGCCCUUUAAUUGGGGAGGCGGUACCAAAAGAGUAAGCCCCGGCUAACUACGUGCCAGCAGCCGCGGUAAUAC
rnacentral:rRNA from 1 species